rnacentral:rRNA from 1 species
GUGUCAGCAGCCGCGGUAAUACGUAGGGCGCAAGCGUUGUCCGGAAUUAUUGGGCGUAAAGAGCUCGUAGGCGGUUUGUUGCGUCUGUCGUGAAAGCCCACGGCUUAACCGUGGGUUUGCGGUGGAUACGGGCAGACUUGAGGCAGGUAGGGGAGAACGGAAUUCCCGGUGUAGCGGUGAAAUGCGCAGAUAUCGGGAGGAACACCGGUGGCGAAGGCGGUUCUCUGGGCCUGUACUGACGCUGAGGAGCGAAAGCGUGGGGAGCGAACAGGAUUAGAAACCCUUGUAGUCC